rnacentral:rRNA from 1 species
UGCAGAAUCCCGUGAAUCAUCGAGUUUUUGAACGCAAGUUGUGCCCGAUGCCAUUCGGCAAAGGGCACGCCUGCCUGGGCGUCAUGUCUUGCGUCGCUCGGUGCCAACUACGCCCGUGGGUCGAAAGUGUUGGCACUGAUGUGGAGAUUGGCCUCUCGUGUCCUUGUAUGCGCGGUAGGCUGAAGAGUGGGAUGCCAACGGAGACGGACACGAUGAGUGGUGGAUGCGAGCCGGACGUCGUGGUCUCGUCCUCUAAAGGCUCGGAGGCCCCUUAUGACACCCAACAUGGUUGCGUUGUAUGCGACCCCAGGUCAGGCGGGAAUACCCGCUGAAUUUAAGCAUAUCAAUAAGCGGAGGAGAAGAAACUUACGAGGAUUCCCUUAGUAACGGCGAGCGAACCGGGACAAGCCCACCUUGAGAAUCGGACGGCUUUGUCGUUCGA